rnacentral:tRNA from 1 species
GCAGGGGUGGCGGAGCGGCCCAACGCGAUAGCCUGCUAAGCUAUUAUGCGAAAGCAUGCGCGAGUUCAAAUCUCGUCCCCUGCG